GAAAGCCCACUUGGUGGCUUUGGCCACCCGGGUUGUUGGGAAUUGAAUGGCGAACGGGUGUGAGUAACACGGUGGAGUAACCGGCCCCCGACUUCGGGAUAAAGCUUGGGGAAACUGGGUCUAAUACCGGAUGUGACUACUGGCCCGCAUGGUUCUGUGGUGGAAAGGGUUUUACCUGUUGGGGAUGGACUCCGGCCUAUCAUUUUUGUGGGUAAUGGCCUACCAAGACGACGACGGGUACCGGCCUGGGAGGGCGACCGGCCACACUGGGACUGAGACACGGCCCAGACUCCUACGGGAGGCAGCAUGGGGAAUAUUGCACAAUGGGGGGAACCCUGAUGCAGCGACGCCGCGUGCGGGAUGACGGCCUUCGGGUUGUAAACCGCUUUCAGUAGGGAAGAAGCGAAAGUGACGGUACCUGCAGAAGAAGUACCGGCUAACUACGUGCCAGCAGCCGCGGUAAUACGUAGGGUACAAGCGUUGUCCGGAAUUAUUGGGCGUAAAGAGCUCGUAGGUGGUUGGUCGCGUCUGCUGUGGAAACGCAACGCUUAACGUUGCGCGUGCAGUGGGUACGGGCUGACUAGAGUGCAGUAGGGGAGUCUGGAAUUCCUGGUGUAGCGGUGAAAUGCGCAGAUAUCAGGAGGAACACCGGUGGCGAAGGCGGGACUCUGGGCUGUAACUGACGCUGAGGAGCGAAAGCAUGGGGAGCGAACAGGAUUAGAUACCCUGGUAGUCCAUGCCGUAAACGUUGGGAACUAGGUGUGGGGUCCAUUCCACGGAUUCCGUGCCGGAGCUAACGCAUUAAGUUCCCCGCCUGGGGAGUACGCCGCAAGGCUA
rnacentral:rRNA from 1 species